rnacentral:sRNA from 1 species
GUUGUAUGGGGAUACAGCUAUAACGACACUAUUGACAAUAUGUAAAAUUUAAAAAAAUCAGGUCACCAAGAUACAGGUCAUGGAUAGCGUCCAACCGGAAAGCAGAGAUGAAUUGUACUUUUUGUUCUUGCACUACGCAUUUAAUUAUGCAUUCAAGCAUAUAGAACAUGUAUACUAGUAUCCCACAUUCAAGUCGCUCUGUUUUUCGUUUUUUGUUAAGUCUCGUGAUCUUUGAAUUCCGAACGUGUAUAAUGCGUAUAUUUAUAUUUAUCCUUUUUUUUUUUAUUCUUUUCGAAGUUUACAAUCAAUGGAUAAUUCGAUUUUAAUUUUAAGCAACAAUUGUAAUAAUUGCUACCUUAUAUCAUUUGAAAUUGUGUUUUGUUAAAAUAAAAAACAAAUUAAAAAACAAGAGACCAUAUAUUGAUGUUCAUAUCAAAUUAAGCUGAAUUGUAUAAUGUGGUUAUGUAAAUUAUAAAACUAUAUUCUAGUAAACCUUUGUAUGCUAUUUUUGUAAAUUCAAAUAUUUAUGCACAUAUAAAAGUUUAAAACAUAUCACAUUUUUUAGGUUUUUGCUUACUGAAGGGAACGCAUUUUUAAGAAGUUUGUAAGACUGUCUAAUAUAAGUGUUUUGAGUGUUAAUAUUUUGGAUCUGAAAAGGGUGGGAGUCUUAUUUUUGUCAUGCUAGUUUAAAUUAUUAGUGAAAUCUACUCUUCGAUUCCACACUUAUUUUAAUAUUGUUUUAUUAACUUAAUCACUCAGAAACGGCUUAUGCGGUGUUAUAUUAUUUUCCUAGUCUGUCAUAUAACUGGUCUAAGAACGUUGAAUCACCUUUCGUGUAUAGAAUUAUUUUUAAUUUUAAAUAAUAAAAUAUGUGACUUAUUUCUGUGGGUUAAAUUUUAUAUUGAAUUUGUAAAACACUUGAGUCGUUUAUAAGCUUAUUGAUAUUUUUUGCGCAAUAUUUGUUUUUGUUGCUAUGUAACUGAAUACAGGUUCAAUAUGAUAAAAUAAAUAAUAAAUCUAUUUAAUUGAU